rnacentral:rRNA from 1 species
CCUACGGGGGGCUGCAGUGGGGAAUAUUGGACAAUGGGGGCAACCCUGAUCCAGCCAUGCCGCGUGUGUGAAGAAGGCCCUCGGGUUGUAAAGCACUUUCAGUGAGGAAGAACGCCUGGUGGUUAAUACCCAUCAGGAAAGACAUCACUCACAGAAGAAGCACCGGCUAACUCCGUGCCAGCAGCCGCGGUAAUACGGAGGGUGCGAGCGUUAAUCGGAAUUACUGGGCGUAAAGCGCGCGUAGGUGGCUUGAUAAGCCGGUUGUGAAAGCCCCGGGCGCAACCUGGGAACGGCAGCCGGAACUGUCAAGCUAGAGUGCAGGAGAGGAAGGUAGAAUUCCCGGUGUAGCGGUGAAAUGCGUAGAGAUCGGGAGGAAUACCAGUGGCGAAGGCGGCCUUCUGGACUGAGACUGACACUGAGGUGCGAAAGCGUGGGUAGCAAACAGGAUUAGAUACCCCAGUAGUC